AGGUGAGUGGUGUAAUGGUAACACAUUAUCCUCUAAAGAUAAGAUUAAGGGUUCGAAUCCUUUCUCACCUG